AGGCCUGUAGUUUCAAUGGUAAAACAUCGGUCUCCAAANNCCAAAACCGAGGUUCCCGGUUCGAGUCCGGGCGGGCCUGCCA
rnacentral:tRNA from 1 species